rnacentral:rRNA from 1 species
GACGAACGCUGGCGGCGUGCUUAAUACAUGCAAGUCGAGCGAUGAUUAAAGAUAGCUUGCUAUUUUUAUGAAGAGCGGCGAACGGGUGAGUAACGCGUGGGAAAUCUGCCGAGUAGCGGGGGACAACGUUUGGAAACGAACGCUAAUACCGCAUAACAAUGAGAAUCGCAUGAUUCUUAUUUAAAAGAAGCAAUUGCUUCACUACUUGAUGAUCCCGCGUUGUAUUAGCUAGUUGGUAGUGUAAAGGACUACCAAGGCGAUGAUACAUAGCCGACCUGAGAGGGUGAUCGGCCACACUGGGACUGAGACACGGCCCAGACUCCUACGGGAGGCAGCAGUAGGGAAUCUUCGGCAAUGGGGGCAACCCUGACCGAGCAACGCCGCGUGAGUGAAGAAGGUUUUCGGAUCGUAAAACUCUGUUGUUAGAGAAGAACGUUAAGUAGAGUGGAAAAUUACUUAAGUGACGGUAUCUAACCAGAAAGGGACGGCUAACUACGUGCCAGCAGCCGCGGUAAUACGUAGGUCCCAAGCGUUGUCCGGAUUUAUUGGGCGUAAAGCGAGCGCAGGUGGUUUCUUAAGUCUGAUGUAAAAGGCAGUGGCUCAACCAUUGUGUGCAUUGGAAACUGGGAGACUUGAGUGCAGGAGAGGAGAGUGGAAUUCCAUGUGUAGCGGUGAAAUGCGUAGAUAUAUGGAGGAACACCGGAGGCGAAAGCGGCUCUCUGGCCUGUAACUGACACUGAGGCUCGAAAGCGUGGGGAGCAAUCAGGAGAGGAUACCCUGGUAGUCCACGCCGUAAACGAUCGCUGUGAAGGAGUGUAGGGAGCUAUAAGUUCUCUGUAGCGCAGCUAACGCAUGAAGCACUCCGCUUUGGAGUA